rnacentral:rRNA from 1 species
UGCAGUCGACGAGAUAGAGGAGAAAUCCAUGAGUACAGUGGCGACCGGGUGAGUAACACGUGACUAACCUACCUUCUAGUGGGGGAUAACCCCGGGAAACCGGGGCUAAUACCGCAUAACAUCUCAAGAUCAAAGCAGCAAUGCGCUGGAAGAGGGGGUCGCGGCUGAUUAGCUAGUUGGCGGGGUAACGGCCCACCAAGGCGAAGAUCGGUAUCCGGCCUGAGAGGGCGCACGGACACACUGGAACUGAAACACGGUCCAGACUCCUACGGGAGGCAGCAGUGGGGAAUUUUGCGCAAUGGGGGAAACCCUGACGCAGCAACGCCGCGUGGAGGAUGAAGCCCUUUGGGGCGUAAACUCCUUUCGACCAAGACGAUAAUGACGGUACUGGUGGAAGAANCACCGGCUAACUCUGUGCCAGCAGCCGCGGUAAUACAGAGGGUGCAAGCGUUGUUCGGAAUUAUUGGGCGUAAAGGGUGCGUAUGCGGCGCGUUAAGUCACCUGUGAAAUCUCCCGGCUUAACUGGGAGCCUGCAGGCGAAACUACCGUGCUGGAGUAUGGGAGAGGUGCGUGGGAAUUCCCGGUGUAGCGGUGAAUGCGUAGAUAUCGGGAGGAACACCUGUGGCGAAAGCGGCGCACUGGACCAUAACUGAUGCUGAUGCACGAAAGCUAGGGGAGCAAACAGGAUUAUAUACCCUGGUAGUCCUAGCCCUAAACGAUGAUUGCUUGGUGUAGCAGGUACCCAAUCCUGCUGUGCCGGCAGCUAAAC